CAACCAAGUAGCAAUUCUGUUGCCUGUUCCCAAUUCCUUAAAAGCAUCUGGCUCAUCUUUCUGUGAAUAAAAGCAAGCAGAUUUAAUAAGCAUUUCAUUUUGAUUAUGUGGAGGAGCCAGUGAGACACAGCUGCAGUGCCAGCAGCAGACAGACUCAUGUAGAAAGAAGAAUUCAUUCCCUCUAUUUGGAAGGAGGGGAGAAUGCUAUGAGUGCCCCUAUUCAUUCAAAUAAAGCAGACACUUUAAAAUUCUACCGGACAGGGAAGGCAUGAGCCCAAGUUGCUAAUGGUUAACAACAACUUUCUUGCCUGAAAAUUAGUACCUGGAUCCUCUUCACAGCCACAGUCUUAACUAUUUAAUUGCACUCACAUCUCUCCUCUUGUCCUUGCCAGAGAUGAGCUAGAGCAAACCUGGGACUCCAGAGCUGUCUCACCAGGACUUGUCCUAGGGGCAGAGCUGGCGCAGUAGGGGCUCCCACACAUGCCCUGAAGGCAGCGCGCCAGCUCUGCUCGCUGCUGGGUUUCUGCCUGCGCAGCUCUCCCCUUUCCUGCUCGCGGCGGGGGCUGUACGCGCCAGCUGCUGUGCCAGGUAUGCUGCUGCUCAAGCUCUUUGGCUUUCUGCAUUCUGCACUUCUGCCUGGCGCACACACACACACACGUCUUUGAGUGCCAUUAAACGUCUAAGGAGGUGAUUCAUUAAGCAAUGCCCUCUCUCAGCCACAGAGCACCUGUGCCAGUAAUGCCUGAAGCUUUCAACAGGGAUAAGAUUAAUCCUUGCCUAAAUGCGUGAGAACGCAGAGUACACCAUAAGCCCAGAGCGGUGUUCAAAGGGGAGGCCUCUUCCCCUCCACGCUCCAGCCUAAGCGUCUGAUGUUACCUGAAAAUGUCUGUGUUCCCUUUCCUUACAGCUGGGGAAAGAGUGAGGACGAUCAGCUCCUCUGCAGAGCUGAAGCUUGCAACAGGCUAACAAACUAGCCAAAAGAUCCAUUUUGCUCCUUGAAACUAACUGGCACCUUUCAAGACGCCUGAAGACCUGGACAGCCACAGACCCCCAAGGAGACCCAAGCUCCUCGGCUACAGGAGCAGCAGCCCAUCCAAGACCAGUACUGCAAGCGGUAGUUUCCCCACCGCUUUGAAGGUGUCUCACUCCAGCCAGAUGCUUGGGCACCUUAUGACCAGGAAUCUUCAUGGAGCAGCAGCUUUCAUGGAACCACAGUCCUGCUUUCUACAUAUUAACACUUGCUCAAAAUCAGCAAAGCAGCAAUCUAGCUGGUCACUUAGGAACCCCAAGUGUAUGAAUAAAAGUACUUUUAAAAUACAGCUUAUGUGAGUUACAUGUACAGUCAGUCUUGCCGCGUUAGAGAUUCGGGACACACUGCUGGCCUUCUACGACCACAGAGGUGAUGGGAAAUCAGAACAACCAGUCUCCCCUCCAAUUUCUCAAAUAUCAAUCCAGCUAAACUCGUCACUGUUACCACAGAGCAAAGUUUGACCUUGCGCUGAUGAAACUGGCUUUUAUUAGUGUAAUAAAAAGUAUACUAAUUUGCAUUCACUUCAGUAAGCAUCCCUCCAGCAAGAGCGACUGCAAUUCCACACCUUAGUAAUCAAGCAAGCAGUACUCU